rnacentral:rRNA from 1 species
UACGUAGGGUGCGAGCGUUAAUCGGAAUUACUGGGCGUAAAGCGUGCGCAGGCGGUGAUGUAAGACAGUUGGGAAAUCCCCGGGCUCAACCUGGGAACUGCAUUUGUGACUGUAGAGCUGGAGUACGGUAGAGGGGGAUGGAAUUCCGCGUGUAGCAGUGAAAUGCGUAGAUAUGCGGAGGAACACCGAUGGCGAAGGCAAUCCCCUGGACCUGUACUGACGCUCAUGCACGAAAGCGUGGGGAGCAAACAGG